GCAUUGGAAGUUCAGUGGUAGAAGCCUUGCCUUCCAUGUGAGAGAUCCAGGUUCAAUUCCUGGCCAAUGCA
rnacentral:tRNA from 1 species